rnacentral:lncRNA from 1 species
UCUUUGUGAAAGUGGAUUUUAUUUCUUAAAAAUUAAUCUGCUAAUCCCAGCUACUCAGGAGGCUGAGGCGGGAGAAUCGCUUGAACCCGGGAGGUGGAGGUUGCGGUGAGCCAAGAUGGCCCCACUGCACUCCAGCCUGGGUGACAGAGCAAAACUCUAUCUCAAAAAAAAAAAAAAAAAGAUAAUAAUAAUAAGAAUGAGCUAUGUGGGUAUGUCCAAAGUUCAGAUUUCCAGAAGCUAGCCUUGAGAUGAGAACUGGUGUGCAAGUUACUUAACAAAGAAGUAUGCUGGCUGGGCGUGGUGGCUCACUCCUGUAAUGCCAGCACUUUGAGAGGCCGAGGGGGGCGGAUGACUUGAGGUCAGAAGUCCAAGACCAGCCUGGCCAACAUGGUGAAACCCCAUCUCUACUAAAAAUACAAAAAUUAGCCGGGCGUGUUGGCACACGCAUGUAAUCCCAGCUACGGGAGGCUGAGACAGAGGAAUCGCUUGAACCCAGGAGGCAGAGGUUGCAGUGAGCCGAGAUUGCGCCCCUGCACUCCAGCCCGGGCGACAGAGCGAGACCCCGUCUCAAAAACAAAAAACAAAAACAAAAAGACACCAAAGAAGUAUGCGGAUAACUCCGUAAGGCAGUGGGUGAAGCAGGUGAGGGAAACCAAGCAAGGGUGUAGUUUCAGAUACAGUCCUGCAGAGGCUGACUCUGGAGUGUGAGUUGGGCUUCAGAGUUGGCCCCACCCAAAGCAAAAGAGCUGGAUUCCAUCCAUCCCUCUCAACUUCGUGCAGCUGUGAAUCAUCGGUCAAGGGUCCUCCCUGGGGGUGGAGAGGAACUAAGUUCCAAGGCACGGCAGUGUUUCUGAGCUACAAGCAUCGGGUUUUUAGCAGCCACAUUGGCAAGAGGAGAAUCUUCGGGGCUCCUGUGAGAGGACCUAGCAUUGUCCUCUAAAGACUGCUCCCGGGAGGCUGAGGCAGGAGAAUUGCUUGAACCCAGGAGACGAAGGUUGCAGUGAGCUGAUAUCGCGACGUUGCACUCCAGCCUGGCAUGAAUACAAUUGAACAGCAUCGGAAGAAUUCAGGGCCACUCCCCUGUGGCCACAGUUAUGAGUCACAGUUGAUAAGGUACAUAAUCUUAAAAAUCCUGCAGUACCUUUAAAAAUAAGUUUGUAUUUUGUUCAUCCCACCUGUGAUGUUCAGUUUUACAAGUCAAUGCAGUUAGGCUACAGUUCCCAGUUAUCCAAUCAAACACCAAUCUAGGUGUUGCUAUUUUGGUAUAGCAAAAGGUGUUUUGUAGUUGUGGUUAAAGUCUGUAAUCAGCUGACUUUAAGUAAGGGAGGUGAUCCUGGACUAUUUGCAUGGACCAGUAUAAUCACAGGGGUCCUCAUUAGAGGGAGGCAAGUGGGUCAGAGUCAGAAAAAGAAGACAUAAUGAUGGGGGCGGAGAUUGAAGUGAUGCCCUUUGUGAAAAUAAAUUCAUCAAAUUGAAGCUGUUGGAAUGUUAAAUUAUUU